CACCCCGUAGUCUAAAGGUUAGGAUGUCGGUCUUUCACACCGAAGAUGCUGGGUUCAAGUCCCGCCGGGGUGG
rnacentral:tRNA from 1 species